GGUGAACGCUGGCGGCGUGCCUAAUACAUGCAAGUCGAGCGAACGGACGAGAAGCUUGCUUCUCUGAUGUUAGCGGCGGACGGGUGAGUAACACGUGGAUAACCUACCUAUAAGACUGGGAUAACUUCGGGAAACCGGAGCUAAUACCGGAUGAUAUUUUGAACCGCAUGGUUCAAAAGUGAAAGACGGUCUUGCUGUCACUUAUAGAUGGAUCCGCGCUGCAUUAGCUAGUUGGUAAGGUAACGGCUUACCAAGGCAACGAUGCAUAGCCGACCUGAGAGGGUGAUCGGCCACACUGGAACUGAGACACGGUCCAGACUCCUACGGGAGGCAGCAGUAGGGAAUCUUCCGCAAUGGGCGAAAGCCUGACGGAGCAACGCCGCGUGAGUGAUGAAGGUCUUCGGAUCGUAAAACUCUGUUAUUAGGGAAGAACAUAUGUGUAAGUAACUGUGCACAUCUUGACGGUACCUAAUCAGAAAGCCACGGCUAACUACGUGCCAGCAGCCGCGGUAAUACGUAGGUGGCAAGCGUUAUCCGGAAUUAUUGGGCGUAAAGCGCGCGUAGGCGGUUUUUUAAGUCUGAUGUGAAAGCCCACGGCUCAACCGUGGAGGGUCAUUGGAAACUGGAAAACUUGAGUGCAGAAGAGGAAAGUGGAAUUCCAUGUGUAGCGGUGAAAUGCGCAGAGAUAUGGAGGAACACCAGUGGCGAAGGCGACUUUCUGGUCUGUAACUGACGCUGAUGUGCGAAAGCGUGGGGAUCAAACAGGAUUAGAUACCCUGGUAGUCCACGCCGUAAACGAUGAGUGCUAAGUGUUAGGGGGUUUCCGCCCCUUAGUGCUGCAGCUAACGCAUUAAGCACUCCGCCUGGGGAGUACGACCGCAAGGUUGAAACUCAAAGGAAUUGACGGGGACCCGCACAAGCGGUGGAGCAUGUGGUUUAAUUCGAAGCAACGCGAAGAACCUUACCAAAUCUUGACAUCCUUUGACAACUCUAGAGAUAGAGCCUUCCCCUUCGGGGGACAAAGUGACAGGUGGUGCAUGGUUGUCGUCAGCUCGUGUCGUGAGAUGUUGGGUUAAGUCCCGCAACGAGCGCAACCCUUAAGCUUAGUUGCCAUCAUUAAGUUGGGCACUCUAAGUUGACUGCCGGUGACAAACCGGAGGAAGGUGGGGAUGACGUCAAAUCAUCAUGCCCCUUAUGAUUUGGGCUACACACGUGCUACAAUGGACAAUACAAAGGGCAGCGAAACCGCGAGGUCAAGCAAAUCCCAUAAAGUUGUUCUCAGUUCGGAUUGUAGUCUGCAACUCGACUACAUGAAGCUGGAAUCGCUAGUAAUCGUAGAUCAGCAUGCUACGGUGAAUACGUUCCCGGGUCU
rnacentral:rRNA from 1 species